UACGAAGGGGGCUAGCGUUGCUCGGAAUGACUGGGCGUAAAGGGCGCGUAGGCGGUUCGUAGAGUCGGGCGUGAAAUUCCUGGGCUCAACCUGGGGGCUGCGUUCGAUACGUGCGGACUAGAGUGGGGAAGAGGGUCGUGGAAUUCCCAGUGUAGAGGUGAAAUUCGUAGAUAUUGGGAAGAACACCGGUGGCGAAGGCGGCGACCUGGACCUUGACUGACGCUGAGGCGCGAAAGCGUGGGGAGCAAACAGG
rnacentral:rRNA from 1 species